AGGAGUGGAGCCUGCGGCUUAAUUUGACUCAACACGGGAAACCUCACCAGGCCCGGACACCGGAAGGAUUGACAGAUUGAGAGCUCUUUCUUGAUUCGGUGGGUGGUGGUGCAUGGCCGUUCUUAGUUGGUGGAGCGAUUUGUCUGGUUAAUUCCGAUAACGAACGAGACUCUAGCCUGCUAACUAGGCGUAUUUCGACAUCCCAAAGGCUCGCCGGUUUGGGGUUUCGACUCCUUUCCGCGCGCGGUUUUUACUGUCGGCGUACAAACAAUUCUUCUUAGAGGGACAGGCGGCUUCUAGCCGCACGAGAUUGAGCAAUAACAGGUCUGUGAUGCCCUUAGAUGUUCUGGGCCG
rnacentral:rRNA from 1 species